UACGUAGGCAGCGAGCGUUGUUCGGAGUUACUGGGCGUAAAGCGUGCGUAGGCGGUUUGUCGCGUCUAUCGUGAAAACUAGCAGCUUAACUGUGGGCGUGCGGGCGAUACGGGCAGACUUGAGUACUGCAGGGAGACUGGAAUUCCUGGUGUAGCGGUGGAAUGCGCAGAUAUCGGGAGGAACACCGGUGGCGAAGGCGGUUCUCUGG
rnacentral:rRNA from 1 species